UACAGAGGGUGCAAGCGUUAAUCGGAAUUACUGGGCGUAAAGCGUGCGUAGACGGUUAUGUAAGUCGGGUGUGAAAGCCCCGGGCUCAACCUGGGAAUUGCAUUCGAGACUGCAUAGCUAGGGUGCGGAAGAGGGAAGCGGAAUUUCCGGUGUAGCGGUGAAAUGACGUAGAUAUCGGAAGGAACACCAGUGGCGAAAGCGGCUUCCUGGUCCAGCACCGACGUUCAGGCACGAAAGCGUGGGGAGCAAACAGG
rnacentral:rRNA from 1 species